rnacentral:rRNA from 1 species
GGACCUGACUGCUAUCGGAUUGAUACUAAGCCAUGCGAGUCUUUGUAGUAAUACAAGGCAGACGGCUCAGUAACACGUAGUCAAUCUAACCUAUGGACAGGGAUAACCUCGGGAAACUGAGAAUAAUACCUGAUAGAUCAUUAUACCUGGAAUGGUUUAUGGUCGAAAUGAUUUAUCGCCGUAGGAUGGGACUGCGGUCUAUCAGCUUGUUGGUGAGGUAAUGGCCCACCAAGGCUAUAACAGAUACGGGCUCUGAGAGGAGAAGCCCGGAGAUGGGUACUGAGACACGGACCCAGGCCCUAUGGGGCGCAGCAGGCGAGAAAACUUUGCAAUGUGCGAAAGCACGACAAGGUUAAUCCGAGUGUUUUCUGCUAAAGAAAUCUUUUGUCAGUCCUAAAAACACUGAUGAAUAAGGGGUGGGCAAGUUCUGGUGU